GGAAGGUCUGGGACUCAAGGACUGCUGUUCAGAUUCUUUUGUUACAUGGGGUACUCCCUUGAUGUGGUGCUCUACCCUUUCUCCUAGGGAUAGGGCUUCCUGAGAUCUGAACUGCAGUGAUUGUUAUUUCUCUUCUGGAUCUAGCCACCCAGCAGAGCUACUGGGCUCCAGGCUGGUAAUGGGUAGUGUCUGCAAAGAGACCUGUGAUGUGAUCUGUCUUCAGGUCUCUCAGCCAUGGAUACCAGCAGCUGCUUCUGUGGAGGAAUGCCUGUUACUAUGCAUCUAACAAAGGACUAAAAUCCAGAAUCUACAAGGAACUAAACUCAACAAGAAAAAAUAAUCUCAUUAACAAGUGGGGAAAAGAUAGGAACAGACAUUUCUCAAAAGAAGAUAUACAAGAGGACAAGAAACAUAAAAUAAAAUGCUCAAUAUCACUAACCGUCAGUGAAAUGCAAGUUAAAACCACAAUGAGAUGCCACAUCACACCGGUCGGAAUGGCCAUUAUUAAAAAGUCAAAAAACCACAGAUGUCGACAAAGAUGCAGAGAAAAGGGAGCACUUAUACACCGUUGGUGCGAAUAUGAAUUAGUACAACCUCUAUGGACAACAGUAUAGAGAUUUCUCAAAGAAGUAAAAAUAGAACCACCAUUAGGCCCAGCAAUCCCACUACUGGGUAUCUACCCAAAGAAAGAGAAAUUGUUAUAUAUAUAUAUCUGCACUCAUAUGUUUAUCACUGCACUAGUCGCAGUAACAAAGUCAUGGAAUGAACCUAAGUUUCCAUCAAAAGAUGAUUGGAUAAAGAAAAUGUGGAAUACCAUGAAAUACUACACAUCCGUAGAAAAAAAAUUAUGUCUUCUGCAGCAACAUGGAUGUAACUGGAGGUCAAAAUACUCAGAAACACAACAUCAAAUACCACAUGUUCUCACUUAUAAAUGGGAGACAUGUACAAACAGAGAAAAAUAGUCAAGGCUGGGGACUUUAAAAGAGGGGCUUGGGAGGGACUUGAGAGUUGAAAAAUUACCUACUGGAUACAAUGUUCAUUAUUCAGGUAAUAGGAACAUUAGAAGCCCAAAUCUCAGCUUUCCACAAUAUAUCCAUGUGACAAAUCUGCAUAUAUACCCACUGAAUCUAUAAAAAUAAAAUGAAUAAAUUUUAAAAAGCAUGUUUCAACACUUCAUAGAAACUCUACAGUUUGGUUAUUAACAUAGAAUCUUCUAGGUCUCAUGGUCAAGUAGCAACAGAGCUAAAUCUAUUCCUAAGAGUUCUUUUUCUAUGAACCUCAAAACUGACAGCCUUAAGAAUUAUCUAACUAAUAGGCUAAAACAAUAUUCUUAAACAUGAUAUAUUCUUCCUCCAAAAUCCAAGAAGUUCCACACAAGACUGUGCCUUUUUGUUGGAGGUAGUAGGUACAAAGAAAAAUAACUUGACCUUGAGUUUAGAGUACAUAUUCUGAUGUGGACUAGAUCAUUAAAUCACUAAAGUAAUAACCAAUAUGGCAGUGUAAUUAUGAUUAUAGGUUUUAUCUCUGACUCUUGGCAGCCAUGUUUGCUAGGAAAUUAUUUGCCAUGGUCUGCUCACCAAAUCCAAUUUACACAAUAUUAUUACAAUAGAGGGCCACAAUGAUGCUCUGUUGAAUGCCAAGAUGAAAACGGUAUCUUCUUCUAGAGAGGAUGGAGGUAGUCUACCCCUGUGAUACGAUAGUGAGUGUUGUCUAUAUUUUCCUAGGUGAAUUUGAACUACUACAUUUACACUCUUUGUGCGAUUAAAAAGGACGUAUCUUCCAGAUCAAUAAAAGCUUACCAAAAGUUACAGUAGGUAUUGAUCUCUUCUGGUAAUGAUAUUACAUCCAGCACAGAGCUGCAAUUGAGUUUUCACAUGCUUAAUUAUGCCGUAGUUCUCUGUCGUCUGCCAUGA
rnacentral:lncRNA from 10 species